rnacentral:lncRNA from 1 species
AGAGUUUUUCUUAUUCUUGUAUUUAUCUCAUAGUUAGUUAUUCUUUUACCAAUAGCAUAGGGACAUGUGUCAUAGGUUACACACAGAUUCCUUUUUAGUUUCAUAAAGACACGGGCUGUACAUAGAAUAAUUCAUUCAAUACAAAGAAAAUUUUCUCAAUUGUUCUUCAUCUUCAUUAUUCACCAUGGGAGAUACAGUUGAAGAUGCUUCUGCUUCUGUAACUCGUACUCCUCAGGUGACACAGGUUGUUGAUUCUUCAGUAGCAACAGUCAUGCUCGAUUCAUCUCACCCCGUCUAUCUCCACCUAUCAGACUCUCCUAGGAUGGUGCUUGUCAGCUCGAUUUUUUAUGGAAAGGGAUAUGGUGGGUGGCGUAGGGGCAUUCUCAUUGCCUUGUCAGCUAAAAACAAACUUGGGUUUAUUGAUAGUUCAUUUCUUCAACCCAAUAUCUCGUUUGAUUCUUUUAAACAAUGGACAAGGUGCAAUGACAUGGCCAUUUCUUUGGUUUUGAACUCUCUCUCUCUCUCUCUCUCUAAGAAAAUAGUAGAAAGUGUUCUUUAUUCCAAAACUGCAAGGGACAUUUGGACUGAACUUGAGGAGCGAUUUGGGUAGAGUAAUGGUCCUCAGCUCUAACAACUGCAAAGGAAAUGAUAGAAUUAGCACAAGCAAAUCUGGACAUUGCUGGUAACUAUACCAAAUUGAAACGACUUUGGGAUGAGUUAGACAGCUUGGACAUUACACAGCAUUGUACAUGUGAUUCUUCAUGUAGAGGAAAGAAGAGACACUGCAAGUCUAAACAAAACGGGAGACUUAUCUAAUUUCUCAUGGGGCUCAAUGAUGCCUAUGCCGCUGCUAGAAGCAGCCUGCUCAUGCUGUCUCCAUUACCCUUAGGCAAUCAUGCUUAUUCCCUACUGAUCAAGGAUGGGAAACAAAGGGAAGUGUAGAUCUCUCAGCAUGUUCCUUCUCAGAGUGCUUAUGUUGCAUCUCAACAGCCUUAUGGAGUUGGUUGCAAAUACUCACCU